GACGAACGCUGGCGGCGUGCUUAACACAUGCAAGUCGAACGGUAAGGCCCUUCGGGGUACACGAGUGGCGAACGGGUGAGUAACACGUGGGUGAUCUGCCCUGCACUUCGGGAUAAGCCUGGGAAACUGGGUCUAAUACCGGAUAGGACUCCUGCCUGCAUGGGUGGGGGUGGAAAGCUUUUGCGGUGUGGGAUGGGCCCGCGGCCUGUCAGCUUGUUGGUGGGGUGAUGGCCUACCAAGGCGACGACGGGUAGCCGGCCUGAGAGGGUGACCGGCCACGCUGGGACUGAGAUACGGCCCAGACUGCUACGGGAGGCAGCAGGGGGGAAUAUUGCACAAUGGGCGCAAGCCUGAUGCAGCGACGCCGCGUGAGGGAUGACGGCCUUCGGGUUGUAAACCUCUUUCAGCACCGACGAAGCGCAAGUGACGGUAGGUGCAGAAGAAGGACCGGCCAACUACGUGCCAGCCGCCGCCGUAA
rnacentral:rRNA from 1 species